rnacentral:rRNA from 1 species
UACGUAGGACGCAAGCGUUAUCCGGAUUUAUUGGGUUUAAAGGGUGCGUAGGCGGGAAAAUAAGUCAGUGGUGAAAUAUUGUCGCUUAACGAUAAGAUUGCCAUUGAUACUGUUUUUCUUGAGUACAAUUGAGGUAGGCGGAAUGUGUAGUGUAGCGGUGAAAUGCUUAGAUAUUACACAGAACACCGAUUGCGAAGGCAGCUUACUAAAUUGUUACUGACGCUGAGGCACGAAAGCGUGGGGAUCAAACAGG